rnacentral:rRNA from 1 species
GUCCACGCUGUAAACGAUGAAUACUAGGUGUUGGGGGCGAAGCCCUCAGUGCCGCAGUUAACACAUUAAGUAUUCCGCCUGGGGAGUACGAUCGCAAGAUUAAAACUCAAAGGAAUUGACGGGGGCCCCGCACAAGCAGCGGAGCAUGUGGUUUAAUUCGAAGCAACGCGAAGAACCUUACCAAGGCUUGACAUCCUAAGAAUCCUAAAGAGAUUUGGGAGUGCCCUUCGGGGAACUUAGAGACAGGUGGUGCAUGGUUGUCGU